rnacentral:rRNA from 1 species
GACGAACGCUGGCGGCGUGCUUAACACAUGCAAGUCGAACGGAGUGGCGAACGGGUGAGUAACACGUGGGUGAUCUGCCUUGCACUUCGGGAUAAGCUUGGGAAACUGGGUCUAAUACCGGAUAGUGCAAGAUGAGCUCGCGGCCUAUCGGCUUGUUGGUGGGGUAAUGGCCUACCAAGACGUCGACGGGUAGCCGGCCUGGGAGGGUGUACGGCCACAUUGGGCCUGAGGUACGGCCCAGACUGGUACGUGAGGCAGCAGGGGGGAAUAUUGCACAAUGGGCGGAAGGCUGAUGCAGCGACGCCGCGUGGGGUAUGAAGGCCUUCGGGUUGUAAACUCCUUUCGACAGGGACGCGGUACCUGUAUAAGAAGCACCGGCUAACUACGUGCCAGCAGCCGCGGUAAUAC